GGAUAUGAGUAGAGCGGCGGACGGGUGAGUAACGCGUAGGAAUCUACCUAGUAGAAGGGGAUAGCCCGGGGAAACCCGGAUUAAUACCGUAUACCUCCUUCGGGAGAAAGAAGGCCUCUCUUUGAAGCUUUCGCUACUAGAUGAGCCUGCGUAAGAUUAGCUUGUUGGUGAGGUAAAAGCUCACCAAGGCAACGAUCUUUAGCUGGUCUGAGAGGACGAUCAGCCACAUUGGGACUGAGACACGGCCCAGACUCCUACGGGAGGCAGCAGUGGGGAAUAUUGGACAAUGGGCGCAAGCCUGAUCCAGCCAUACCGCGUGUGUGAAGAAGGCCUUCGGGUUGUAAAGCACUUUAAGCAGGGAGAAAAAGUUAUAAGUUAAUACCUUAUAGCCUUGAUGUUACCUGCAGAAUAAGCACCGGCUAAUUCCGUGCCAGCAGCCGCGGUAAUACGGAAGGUGCAAGCGUUAAUCGGAAUUACUGGGCGUAAAGCGCGCGUAGGUGGUUUGUUAAGUUGGAUGUGAAAGCCCUGGGCUCAACCUAGGAACUGCAUCCAAAACUAACUCACUAGAGUACGAUAGAGGGAGGUAGAAUUCAUAGUGUAGCGGUGGAAUGCGUAGAUAUUAUGAAGAAUACCAGUGGCGAAGGCGGCCUCCUGGAUCUGUACUGACACUGAGGUGCGAAAGCGUGGGUAGCGAACAGGAUUAGAUACCCUGGUAGUCCACGCCGUAAACGAUGACAACUAGCUGUUGGGAGACAAAGUCUUUCAGUGGCGCAGCUAACGCUUUAAGUUGUCCGCCUGGGGAGUACGGCCGCAAGGCUAAAACUCAAAUGAAUUGACGGGGACCCGCACAAGCGGU
rnacentral:rRNA from 1 species